UACGGGGGGAGCAAGCGUUGUUCGGAUUUACUGGGCGUAAAGGGCGCGUAGGCGGCGCAACAAGUCACUUGUGAAAUCUCCGGGCUUAACUCGGAGCGGCCAAGUGAUACUGUCGUGCUAGAGUGCGGAAGGGGCAACUGGAAUUCUCGGUGUAGCGGUGAAAUGCGUAGAUAUCGAGAGGAACACCUGCGGCGAAGGCGGGUUGCUGGGCCGACACUGACGCUGAGGCGCGAAAGCCAGGGGAGCAAACGGG
rnacentral:rRNA from 1 species